rnacentral:rRNA from 1 species
AUGAAGGAUCUAGGAGUAGAUGAUGUUAUCUUAAACAUCAAGCUGUUGAGAGAUGAGAAUGGUGGGAUCACACUACUUCAGUCUCAUUAUGUGGAAAAGGUCUUGAGUCAUUUUGGGUAUAGCGACUGCACGCCUUCUCCAACUCCAUAUGAUGCUAGUGUGUUGCUUCGAAAGAAUCGACGGAUUGCUAAAGAUCAACUGAGAUAUUCUCAGAUUAUUGGCUCGCUUAUGUAUUUGGCGAGUGCCACGAGGCCUGACAUCUCUUUUGCUGUGAGCAAGCUGAGUCGGUUUGUGUCAAACCCGGGAGAUGAUCAUUGGCAUGCGCUUGAGAGAGUUAUGCGCUAUUUGAAAGGCACCGCGAGCUAUGGGAUUCACUACACCGGGUAUCCAAGGGUACUGGAGGGUUAUAGUGACUCAAACUGGAUAUCUGAUGCUGAUGAGAUUAAGGCCACUGUGAUCGUCAAGAUAAACAGUUCUAAGGACAAUAUGAAGUCAUCAAGGCUUGUGAAGAGGAGAUUAAAAUCUGUCAGAAAAUUGAGGAACUCCGGAGUUAUUAUGUUGGAUUAUAUCCAAACGUCGAAAAACUUGGCAGAUCCCUUCACAAAGGGUCUAUCACGUAAUGUUGGUACUUAUCUUAAUGUGUUCCAAGUGGCUUAUUCGGGUAAGCAGAGAUGUUGUCCUGCAGAACAUCUUCUGAGGAACACACCUAUAUGA